rnacentral:ncRNA from 1 species
UUUUUGGAGAGUUUGAUCCUGGCUCAGGAUGAACGCUGGCGGCGUGCCUAAUACAUGCAAGUCGAGCGGGAGAAUCAUCCUUCGGGAUGAGGAUCCAGCGGCGAACGGGUGAGUAACACGUGGGCAACCUGCCCGCAAGACCGGGAUAACUCCGGGAAACCGGGGCUAAUACCGGAUAGUCCCUUUU